UACGUAGGUGGCGAGCGUUGUCCGGAAUUACUGGGUGUAAAGGGCGUGUAGGCGGGAGAGUAAGUCAGAUGUGAAAUUCCAGGGCUCAACCCUGGCGCUGCAUCUGAAACUAUUCUUCUUGAGUGCUGGAGAGGAAAGCGGAAUUCCUAGUGUAGCGGUGAAAUGCGUAGAUAUUAGGAGGAACACCAGUGGCGAAGGCGGCUUUCUGGACAGUAACUGACGCUGAGGCGCGAAAGCGUGGGGAGCAAACAGG
rnacentral:rRNA from 1 species